UGCGUAGGCGGCGUUGUAAGUCAGAGGUGAAAUCCCACAGCUCAACUGUGGAAUUGCCUUUGAUACUGUAAUGCUUGAAUCAGGUUGAGGUCGGCGGAAUGUGGCAUGUAGCGGUGAAUGCUUAGAUAUGCCAUAGAACACCAAUUGCGAAGGCAGCUGGCUAGACCUGUAUUGACGCUGAGGCACGAAAGCGUGGGGAGCGAACAGGAUUAGAUACCCUGGUAGUCC
rnacentral:rRNA from 1 species